AGCAGCCGCGGUAAUUCCAGCUCCAAUAGCGUAUAUUAAAGUUGUUGCAGUUAAAAAGCUCGUAGUUGAAUUUCGGGGUCGGUAGGUUGGUCAUGCCUCUGGUAUGCACUGGUCUCACUGAUUCCUCCUUCCUGAUGAGCCGUAAUGCCAUUAAUUUGGUGUUGCGAGGAAUCUGGACUGUUACUUUGAAAAAAUUAGAGUGUUUAAAGCAAGCUAACGCUUGAAUACAUUAGCAUGGAAUAAUGGAAUAGGACGUUCGAUCCUAUUUUGUUGGUUUCUAGGAUUGACGUAAUGAUUAAUAGGGAUAGUUGGGGGCAUUAGUAUUCAAUUGUCAGAGGUGAAAUUCUUGGAUUUAUUGAAGACUAACUACUGCGAAAGCAUUUGCCAAGGAUGUUUUCAUUAAUCAAGAACGAAAGUUAGGGGAUCGAAGACGAUCAGAUACCGUCGUAGUCUUAACCAUAAACUAUGCCGACUAGGGAUCGGAUGAUGUUAAUUUUUAAUGACUCAUUC
rnacentral:rRNA from 1 species